rnacentral:rRNA from 1 species
UACGUAGGGCGCAAGCGUUGUCCGGAAUUAUUGGGCGUAAAGAGCUCGUAGGUGGCUUGUCACGUCGGGUGUGAAAGCUUGGGGCUUAACUCCAGGUCUGCAUUCGAUACGGGCUGGCUAGAGGUAGGUAGGGGAGAACGGAAUUCCUGGUGUAGCGGUGAAAUGCGCAGAUAUCAGGAGGAACACCGGUGGCGAAGGCGGUUCUCUGGGCAUGACCUGACGCUGAGGAGCGAAAGUGUGGGGAGCGAACAGG